rnacentral:rRNA from 1 species
AUUAAGUCAGAUGUGAAAGCCCGGGGCUCAACCUCGGAACUGCAUUUGAAACUGGUGAACUAGAGUGCUGUAGAGGGGGGUAGAAUUUCAGGUGUAGCGGUGAAAUGCGUAGAGAUCUGAAGGAAUACCAGUGGCGAAGGCGGCCCCCUGGACAGACACUGACACUCAGAUGCGAAAGCGUGGGGAGCAAACAGGAUUAGAUACCCUGGUAGUCCACGCCGUAAACGAUGUCUACUUGGAGGUUGUGGCCUUGAGCCGUGGCUUUCGGAGCUAACGCGUUAAGUAGACCGCCUGGGGAGUACGGUCGCAAGAUUAAAACUCAAAUGAAUUGACGGGGGCCCGCACAAGCGGUGGAGCAUGUGGUUUAAUUCGAUGCAACGCGAAGAACCUUACCUACUCUUGACAUCCAGAGAAGCCAGCGGAGACGCAGGUGUGCCUUCGGGAACUCUGAGACAGGUGCUGCAUGGCUGUCGUCAGCUCGUGUUGUGAAAUGUUGGGUUAAGUCCCGCAACGAGCGCAACCCUUAUCCUUGUUUGCCAGCGAGUAAUGUCGGGAACUCCAGGGAGACUGCCGGUGAUAAACCGGAGG